UACGAAGGGGGCUAGCGUUGCUCGGAAUCACUGGGCGUAAAGGGUGCGUAGGCGGGUCUUUUAAGUCAGGGGUGAAAUCCUGGAGCUCAACUCCAGAACUGCCUUUGAUACUGAGGAUCUUGAGUUCGGGAGAGGUGAGUGGAACUGCGAGUGUAGAGGUGAAAUUCGUAGAUAUUCGCAAGAACACCAGUGGCGAAGGCGGCUCACUGGCUCGAUACUGACGCUGAGGCACGGAAAGCGUGGGGAGCAAACAGG
rnacentral:rRNA from 1 species